rnacentral:lncRNA from 1 species
GAAUUUCUGGAGACGCUCUAUUUCAUCAAGUUUGUCUCAUUUACAAAAUGUUGCCCUGGGAAACCUAAAGGAAUUAAGGAUAAACAUUUGCUCCAGAACAGUGAAACAUCAGAUCCCUGAACUACUAGCAGAACAGCUCACUCAUAAUGUUUAUUCUGCCUGAUGUUCCUUAACUUUGGCAAAAAUACUAGCAAGAAUCACCAAAUAUUCCAGAGACAGAAGAUAAGAAUGCUGCUAGUGUCCCCAAGUACAAAAGAAAUCUAAGAUCAAUUUCAGAAAUCGAGAUGUUAAUGGAAAUUAAACAAAACAAAAAUAAAUCAAGAUGAUUAUAAACUAAAGAAAAAUUUAAAACUUGCCCAAAGUUUGGAAACCUGAAAUGUGAGACUUUAACCCUAAUAUCAAGUUGGACAUUUUGGAAAAGAAGCUUCUCAAGACAUUUCUCAAGCAAAAAAUUACUUUUAAUGUUGAUCCUUUAAUUAACAAAAGCAGCUAAGAUUCAAUCAGAAGGGAAUUUGGAUCCAUUGACUACUUCCAGUCUGACACGUAAGCACUCAUCCCAAAGAAUCUUCAGCUCCAGGAUCUGGUGGAUACUUGGUUUACAAGUUUAUGUAAUUACUUUUCCAUUUCUUAAAAAUUAAAAAUAAAAAGAUGUGAAGUUUCUAA